UAAGGUCACGGCGAGACGAGCCGCUUAUCAUUACGAUAGGUGUCAAGUGGAAGUGCAGUGAUGUAUGCAGCUGAGGCAUCCUAACAGACCGAGAGAUUUGAACCUU
rnacentral:rRNA from 3 species